GUUGCAAGUAGGAAGUUAUCCGAAGGAUCUCGUAACCUGUUCGUACCCUAAUGGAUCCAGUGAAUACUAGUGGGUCAGAGUACUUGGCCAGUAAUGCUGCUGGAUCCCUAGACACUGCGGCACCCCUUUUGUUUGCUGCACUGAACUGGUAUCUUGGAAAUAAAAAUGAGAAAAUAGGAGCAAGUACUGUGAAAAUCGGAUGAGCUGGUUGAAC
rnacentral:misc_RNA from 1 species